GACGAACGCUGGCGGCGUGCUUAACACAUGCCAGUCGAACGGAAAGGCCCUGCUUUUGUGGGGUGCUCGAGUGGCGAACGGGUGAGUAACACGUGAGUAACCUGCCCUUGACUUUGGGAUAACUUCAGGAAACUGGGGCUAAUACCGGAUAGGAGCUCCUGCUGCAUGGUGGGGGUUGGAAAGUUUCGGCGGUUGGGGAUGGACUCGCGGCUUAUGAGCUUGUUGGUGGGGUAGUGGCUUACCAAGGCUUUGACGGGUAGCCGGCCUGAGAGGGUGACCGGCCACAUUGGGACUGAGAUACGGCCCAGACGCCUACGGGAGGCAGCAGUGGGGAAUAUUGCACAAUGGGCGGAAGCCUGAUGCAGCAACGCCGCGUGCGGGAUGACGGCCUUCGGGUUGUAAACCGCUUUCGCCUGUGACGAAGCGUGAGUGACGGUAAUGGGUAAAGAAGCACCGGCUAACUACGUG
rnacentral:rRNA from 1 species